rnacentral:sRNA from 1 species
GCCACUGUAUUCUAUUGAAGAACAUGUCUAACAGUAACACUACUCAAGAGACCCUGGAAAUAAUGAAAGAAUCAGAAAAAAAACUGGUGGAAGAAUCUGUAAACAAAAACAAGUUUAUAUCUAAGACUCCAAGUAAGGAAGAAAUUGAGAAAGAAUGUGAAGAUACCAGUUUGCGUCAGGAGACACAGAGGCGGACAUCUAACCAUGGUCAUGCCAGGAAAAGAGCCAAGUCUAAUUCCAAGCUAAAGUUGGUGCGCAGCCUGGCAGUGUGUGAGGAGUCCUCCACCCCAUUUGCUGAUGGGCCAUUAGAAACCCAGGAUAUAAUUCAAUUGCACAUCAGUUGCCCUUCUGACAAAGAGGAAGAAAAGUCCACAAAAGAUGUCUCUGAAAAGGAAGACAAGGACAAAAACAAAGAAAAGAUCCCAAGGAAGAUGCUGUCCAGAGACUCCAGCCAGGAAUAUACGGACUCCACUGGAAUAGACCUACAUGAAUUUCUUGUAAAUACACUGAAAAAGAACCCAAGGUAAUAACAUGAUGGGUAUAAGAGGAAAAGGGGUUAGGGGAUAGCAAGAUUCCAAGAGGCCAACGGCUUCCCAGAAUUUUUCCAU